UUUAAGAUGGCAGAAUUUGAAUGCAUAGACUUUAAGCGUCUAAGAUGAAGUAUUUCUCUUAAAA
rnacentral:tRNA from 1 species